UAAGACAGAGGGUGCAAACGUUGCUCGGAAUUACUGGGCGUAAAGCGCGUGUAGGCGGGUCGGAAAGUCGGGCGUGAAAUCCCCAGGCUCAACCUGGGAACUGCACUCGAAACUUCCGGUCUAGAGUGGUGGAGAGGGAAGUGGAAUUCCUGGUGUAGAGGUGAAAUUCGUAGAUAUCAGGAGGAACACCGGUGGCGAAGGCGGCUUCCUGGACACCAACUGACGCUGAGACGCGAAAGCGUGGGGAGCAAACAGGAU
rnacentral:rRNA from 1 species